CUCAACGGCCAUGGCUCACGGGCCCAGCCGCUCCGCGGCAUGUGGAAUCUUCCCGGACCGGGGCACGAACCCGCGUCCCCUGCAUCAGCAGGCGGACUCUCAACCACUGUGCCACCAGGGAAGCCCUGGAGUUAUGUUACUUUUAAUUCCGGUAAUGCUGGCUCAACAUUUCAAAAUGAUCAGAAUGGUCUGCAACGCUUAUGACCUUAAGAAAACACAGACUUUAGAUGGUGGGACACAACACCCAGGAAAAGUCCUGGCACCAAGGGACAAAGGCCACUGAAGAUGGAAAACCUGACUCUUGAUCAGCGAUGCUUUCAGAGAAAAGCAGAAAAUGUCAAACUGAAUAGAGGAAACCUCAUUUAAAAUAGCUGGGAGUCCAGAAGGGGGAACCCUCACACACUACCACAAGAAGCAUCAACUACUCCCGUUAAUUACAUACUCCAACAGCAAAGCAUCAUUCACAGACCUACUAGGAGGGAAGAUUUCCUGUUCACCCAGCAAAUUUGCCUAGGAGGAACCAUCACCACCUGAACUCUCACUUUCUACCAGGGGACUUUCUUCAGAACAACCCCUCCCAAUUUCUUCCUUUUUCCCUGUAACAGAAUGGGCCUCUCCUUUGUUUGCUGAACUUAUCUAUGGCUUUUCCUAUAGUUCGCUUGUCUCGAAUUGCAAUUCCUCUGCUAUUCCCAAAUAAGCCCAUUUUGCUGGUAAAAUAAACAGCUGUUUUAUUUUUACCUUAAAAGCUUCAUGCCUUCCACCUUAUUUUGCAUGUCUCCAAAAGGAGACUGCCCACUUCAU